UAUUUGGACUGAGCUUGAUAGGGCUGACACCUCUAGCU
rnacentral:sRNA from 1 species